GUUUGCAACCCUCCCAACUCACACUGCAAAUGCGCACCGGCUGAGUACAGUACAGAUUUCUCACAUAAAUCACAAAGCAAAUGGAUAAAGAGGUCAUCCUCUGCAUGCAGCUCUCAUAACCUGCAGACCGCGCAACAUGA